rnacentral:rRNA from 1 species
AUUGAACGCUGGCGGCAUGCUUUACACAUGCAAGUCGAACGGUAACAGGCCGCAAGGUGCUGACGAGUGGCGAACGGGUGAGUAAUGCAUCGGAACGUGCCCAGUCGUGGGGGAUAACGCAGCGAAAGCUGCGCUAAUACCGCAUACGAUCUAUGGAUGAAAGCGGGGGAACGUAAGGCCUCGCGCGAUUGGAGCGGCCGAUGUCAGAUUAGGUAGUUGGUGGGGUAAAGGCUCACCAAGCCAACGAUCUGUAGCUGGUCUGAGAGGACGACCAGCCACACUGGGACUGAGACACGGCCCAGACUCCUACGGGAGGCAGCAGUGGGGAAUUUUGGACAAUGGGCGCAAGCCUGAUCCAGCAAUGCCGCGUGCAGGAAGAAGGCCUUCGGGUUGUAAACUGCUUUUGUACGGAACGAAACGGCUCUCUCUAAUACAGGGGGUUAAUGACGGUACCGUAAGAAUAAGCACCGGCUAACUACGUGCCAGCCGCCGCAGUAAGAC